UAAUUUGGUUAAAUUUACUUGAAAGUUGAUUGGAGAUUCUUGGUUUUGAUGAUUUGGUGCAAUAGCUUACCAUUGGAAAUCAAUUGAAGUUUGAGUUUAUCCUAUUUUUUAGAUGGAAUUUGUUGAUAUCUUAAGCUACCUAAUAAGUUGAUUUCUUAAGCCCUUUAUUGGUGCUUUGUUGAAUUUUUGUAAUUUGAGUUGUGAUUAAAUUUUUAUCUUCCCUGUAGCCUCACUGCCUUAGUUGAUUAAUUACCAAUCUGAGCUUUGGAUCAUACUUCAUUUUUUAAUAUUUUUUGUUUCAAAAGACUUUCCUCUUUGUAAACUCAAAAUUUAAUUUGAUAUGCAGGGAAUUAUAUCCAAGGGUGGGUGGUUUCUUGAAGGUCUUGUUUCCGGUAGUAAAAAAAUAUAUGCUGAGGACGGUCAAUUGAUUAUCCUAGCCGUUGGAGAGAAGUUGCUGCAUGAAUAUAAGUGGCUUGAACCUUUGGAGUCAGGUUUCAUAUAUGAUAAGCUUUGAGAGUCUAGCAGAAAUAUUUCAGGAAAUAAGGAACAAGGUACUGAAGAAUAGGGAUUUUUAUCUUCUGGUCGGAUGUGGAUUGAGCAGUACUCGACGAAGACAAGCUUUACAUGUCACAGCAAUCAAGAAGAUCACCGAACAAGAGUUCAUCCCUGAUAUCCCUCCAUUUUUCAGAGAGAAAUGCUGCUGCUACUGCUGUUUUCUCUUAUCUCACUUUCUCUCUCUAGAAUGGGUGUUUUUGAGGGUUUUUCAAAGAAUUUAGGUAAGGAAUAGCACUACAUAUUCCGAUUAUUCCAUGAUUAUUAGUAUCAUUUUAACUUGAUUAAUUGUUCUGAUGAUCCAAUUUUCAGCAUUAGCUCAUGGGUUUUAAUUUCAUCGAA